rnacentral:ribozyme from 1 species
AAAAGAAAAAGAAUGAAGAAAAAAAAAUAAACAACACAAUACUGUUUACUCUUUCUUUUUUUCUUUGUGCUGCUUUCCGUUUCUUUUCUUUUCUUUUCU